rnacentral:rRNA from 1 species
ACAGCAGUAGCCGCGGUAAAACGGAGGGUGCAAGCGUUAAUCGGAAUUACUGGGCGUAAAGCGCACGCAGGCGGUCUGACAAGUCAGAUGUGAAAUCCCCGGGCUUAACCUGGGAACUGCAUUUGAAACUGUCAGACUGGAGUCUUGUAGAGGGGGGUAGAAUUCCAGGUGUAGCGGUGAAAUGCGUAGAGAUCUGGAGGAAUACCGGUGGCGAAGGCGGCCCCCUGGACAAAGACUGACGCUCAGGUGCGAAAGCGUGGGGAGCAAACAGGAUUAGAUACCCCGGUAGUCCCUGUCUCUUAUAC